rnacentral:rRNA from 1 species
CCUACGGGUGGCUGCAGUGGGGAAUAUUGGACAAUGGGGGCAACCCUGAUCCAGCCAUGCCGCGUGUGUGAAGAAGGCCCUCGGGUUGUAAAGCACUUUCAGUGAGGAAGAACGCCUGGUGGUUAAUACCCAUCAGGAAAGACAUCACUCACAGAAGAAGCACCGGCUAACUCCGUGCCAGCAGCCGCGGUAAUACGGAGGGUGCGAGCGUUAAUCGGAAUUACUGGGCGUAAAGCGCGCGUAGGUGGCUUGAUAAGCCGGUUGUGAAAGCCCCGGGCUCAACCUGGGAACGGCAUCCGGAACUGUCAAGCUAGAGUGCAGGAGAGGAAGGUAGAAUUCCCGGUGUAGCGGUGAAAUGCGUAGAGAUCGGGAGGAAUACCAGUGGCGAAGGCGGCCUUCUGGCCUGACACUGACACUGAGGUGCGAAAGCGUGGGUAGCAAACAGGAUUAGAUACCCCGGUAGUC